CUCUCGCUCUCCUCCCUCCACCGUCUCUCCCAGUCCCCGUCGAAGCCGCCGCUCUACCCCACCAAAACCCUAGCGAGGCUAGCCCUAGGUAUUCUCCCCAGCGGAGCAAGAGGAAGCGAAUGCCGAGGAGCAAGACGGUUAGCAAAUCCCUUGGUUGCCGAUUUGAGUCGGCGCUCGGCGGCACAUGAAUCCUUCAGUUUGUAUCCCCUAUCUUCUCUUCUCUGCACCUUGUGUCUUCCGCUUUUGUUCCCUUUUGUUUUUUUUCGGAUUCGGAUGUUUGCCCGUGAUGCUGUUAUUAUAGUUUGAGAGAUCACUCGGUUUUCGUGUGGAUCCUUGAUGAUUUGAGGCCCUGGAUCUGUGAACUAGGGUUUCAGCCUCAUCUCCGAACCGAUUAGAUGAUUAGUUUGUUCUUCUCAUGAGGGGUAUUCUGAUCUGCCAGCCUGAUGAUUAGCAUUGUUUGCACCAAGAACGGAGAUCUGAAUGCGCUUCCUCGUUGAAGCCCGCUUGGCUGCUGUGGUGGAUCAUGGCAGGCUGGCUCUCUCGAUCUCGCUCGGCUCGUUAACCUCCCUACCUCUCCCACUGUUCUGAUAUGUUAGUGCAGCGUUCCUAUCUGAGAGGAAAACUGCAACGACAUACACACACAUGCAUGCAUUCAUAUACAUAUACAUACAUAUAUAUAUAUAUAUAUAUCUCCUUUGCUGCUCAUCUGCUUUUCCACCGAGUAAGCCGAGUGGGUUCCGGGGGAUGCAUCUGUAGAUGCGAAAGUUAUGAAGGCUAAUGCAGGUUGGAAGAAUGCCCUGUCAAAAUUUAUUUAUAAAUUGUUUAACGAGGUGUCCGUUUCUAUUUCGAAAGCUGUUUUGCCUUUUUGAAGUACUUCAGUGCAGCCUGUGCUGAUUUUGAUUUGGUUGGUAUUAAUAUCUUACUGUGACUGAAAUUUGAGUUGCAAACUUUCAAUAUUUCACCCUAUUGCCAUUGGCAGAUGAUGAGAAGCAAAGACAAUGCAUCUGCAGUGCUCCUCAUUCGUGGGGGCUCAAUAGCAUGAUGACUCUGUCUAGGGGAAUCUCUGAUGCUAAUAGCUAAUUCCAGUUUUUGUAAAUAGCUUAUGGAGUGUAUGAGGUUGAUUCUUUAUGUGUAUCUUUUGAAGCAGAGAAACACCAGUUUCCUUUGUGCAUCUUAUGGAAUUUUUAUCUUGGUUUGUUCUUAUGAAAGAUUCUGAUGUCUUGCUGUAAGAUAAGAUAUAAGUUUGUGUACUGCAGGUUUACCAUGACCUGUCAACCUGCGUUAAGAGCUGAGGUUUAAAUCCCAUCUCCAUCAGGCAAAAUAGACUCUGGGAAAUGUAUCUGUAGUUGCAAAAUUACAAAAGGUUUGGCAGAUUGGAAGAAUGCCCACAAUAGCAUGAUGACUCCAUCUAGGUGAAUCUCUGAUUCUGAUCUGUGUUUUGUUGCCUUGUUUUCUUGCAUGUCGUCUCCUUGUAUUUUUAUAUGGCUUUAAGUCCUCAUUGGAGGAUUCAUGACUAGUUCGUGGUUUGCAAUAUUUCACCAUUUCAAAUUUGUUGAGGAUGAGAAGACGGGAUCUUUUUAGUGUCCCUGGUGAUACAGUCAUACAGUUGCUCUAUGUGCUAUCAACUAGACUAGAAUAUGAAUGUUUUUAUGAAGCUAUGGGUCAACUUACUAGAAGGUGCAUAGUGGUUACUAUUUUUCUUAUUUCAUAACCUUUUAUCUUUUCUCACAUGUGAGAUUUGGAUCAGAAGGGAUAUCUUGAUAUGUCUGUAGCUUAAUGAUCAAAUUGUUUGCAGCAAGAAUAGAGAUCUGAAUAUGCAUCUCUAUUGUACUAUGCCUUGCUGCUUAACCAGUCUAUCAAUACUCCAUGUCGCCAUACAUGUCUUUUUUUUCUCGGAUCAUGUUUGGCUUUGGGUUUUGCCUUAGCAUUCCUCAGUGAUCUUCACCUAAUCUGAGAGUCUUUUUAUUAUUUUGUUUUUCUUGAGGUAAGGGUUAGAUAGGUGGAUGCUUUUAAAACAAUGAAUCUGUUUAAGCAGGUUGUAGAAAUUGGCAUAAUGGAAGCCUACAGUUUGCAGCCUACGGAUAUGCCAGUUUCAGUGUUUGUUCAUGGGAUGUUCUGAUUUGCCUCUUUGCCAGCCUGAUGAUUACCUCUUCAAUAGUAUAAUGGAGAUUGGAAUACACUUGACUGUAGAAGCUGGCUUGGCUGCUGUGGUGGACCAUAUACUCCCUCCGUUCCAAAUUACUAUAAGUCCAUCCAUCCAUGUACACCCCACUCUGAUUUUCUUCCACCAAGCUGGCUGAGCUGGCUCCGGUUAAGAUGUGUGUAGAUAAAACGAAAUAUGAAGGCUUUGGCAGACACAUGUGAAAGGAAAGAUGUUAAAUUUGGUUUUAUUAUGGGGGCAUUCAAAUGUACCAGCCUGAUGAUUACAGGUUAUUUGCAUUGAGAGUGAAAAUCUGAAUGCACUUCUCCUGUUGAAGGCUGCUUAGUUGCUCUGGUUGAUGGUCUGCUGCUGCUGCUGCUACUACAAUAUCCAGAAUGAGUCUCUUCCCCGUCUCUGUCUCCCUCCCUCUCUGGAUGUGUGUGUGUGUGUGUGUGUGUGUGUGUGUGUGUGUGUUUCUAUCAACCAAGCUGGCUAAGUGGGCUCCUGGGGAUGCAUAUGUAAGUGCAAUGGUUAUGAAGGCUUGGCAAAUAUAAGAAUGACCUCAUAUCGAACAAAUUCGUUUUAUAACAAGUAAUUUCUCUCUAAGCUUGGUGUUUCUCUUCUUUUUUCCAAGUGGCUUUUUCAAACUGCAUUGUAAUUGACCUCUUUUGUGAUUUUUUCCUUCUGAGGUUACAAAGCAAAUAGUGGAGCUGUGUAGCAGUAUUGCCCAAUUUUGUCAUCCAUCUGACCUGCUGUUGAAAUUAUGAAGAUUUUCAGCACUUGGAUCUAAUUUACAUCCCACUCAGAUUUUGUUGAAGUGAACCAGAGAUGUGGGGUGACAACUUGCUCAGAUGAUCUGCAUUACAAAUAAGUUGAUGAGAACUGAACCUAAAAUGGACCUUUCGAUGACCAUUCUUUUAAUGGAUGGGUGCAUGUUUGUUAGACCAAGGAUGUAGCUAGGGUUAGUGUAGCAAAGUUAUACAGGAGGCAUUUUAUAGUGCUAGAGCAUAGUUUUAUUGCGCAUGCUAAGCUAGUUUUAGCCUAAUUCACUUGCUUUAUGGCACUGGCCCUCCUGAAAUUGAGCACAAGCUCUGCCUAAGUUCUAAAAACUGAUAUUCAUGGGGCUGUUCUUGCACUAAGAACGGAGAUCUUAACACACUUAUUCGUUGAAGCUGGCUUGGCCUCUGUGGUGGAUCAUAUAGUUCCUCUAAUCACAAUUAUAAGUCUGUACAUCCAUCCAUGCAUGAAUGUCAGUCUGAUUUUCCACCAGGCAAGAGUGUGUUGAUUGAAAAAAAAAAAAGAAGGCUUGGCAUAUGCAUAAUGUGUCCCUGUAGUACUGUUGCAUAAAGUUGUCAAGAAGUUUUCGCCAUCAUAAAUCAGUCUGCAUAAAUGAUGAUGUAUAGGUGAUCAAGGUUUUAAAUCUCCCGCCAUAGCCAGCUAUACCUAUUUGAGGCAUGUUACCACUAUUCGAGUUCAUGUACAAUUUAGCCGAUAUAGCCCGCUAUAGUUAGAUUUAGCUCUGCUAUUAGCUGAUUUAGAGUUCCACCUCUAAACCGGGUUUAGCCUGCUAUUUAAAACAUUGGUUGUGAUAUCUGUGGUGUCUCAUUAGUCAUGCAAAGUCCCAAUAUUUUGUUUUUGUUAUGGGGGACAGGCAUUCUGGUAUCGGCCUGAUGAUUAUGAUGUUUGCACUAAGAACGGAGAUCAGAAUGCACUUCACCCGUUGAAGCCUGCUUGGCCACUCUGGUUGAUGGUCUGCUCUUGCAGCUGCUAGUACUACUACUGCCUUCUGGCCUCCGUCUCUCUCUCUCUCUCUCUCUCUCUCUCUCUCUCUCUCUCUCUCUCUCUCUCUUCUCUUCCUGGCCUGCCUGUCUGUGGGUGUGUGUGAUUCUCCAUCAACCAAGCUGGCCAAGUGAGCUCCGUGGAAUGUGCAUGUAGAUGCAAGAAUUAUGAAGGCUUGACUGAUGCAAGAAUGCCCCUGUGUUUACUGUUUUUUUUAUGGUCCUGUUAUGCCAAUUGCUGUCUUGUUUUCCUAGCUGCAAUGUGUUGGACUUCAGUUUUUGUGAUUUCUUUUUUGGGUUGUGAGCAAAUGAGGCUGUGAAUGGUUUUAUUAUUACAAGUGUUAUCAUACAUCUCCAGCUUUUGAAAUUGAGAUUUUUCUGUAUUUAGAUCUAACUUGAGAUUUUUCAGUAUUUAGAUCUAACUUAUGUACAGUACAGUGUGCUGGCUGGUUGGUGAUUCGAGACGCAGGGUAGUAGGAGUCCAUGGAAGAUUAGAAGAAGUGAUAUGGUGUGACACUGUAGUCAAGUACUCUGUUUUGUGUUGGAAAAGUUCGGUAAAUUUAUGUGCGGUCAAAAUACAGGAGAAUUACUGUAAGUGGUUUGAAACAGUUGAUUCUCUUGUUUCUGACUAUUGACUCUUUGUAUGAUACAGGAGAAGUGCGAUGCCAUCUAUAUGAUGCUGAAUGUAGUGAUAAUGUGAUAUGUAAGCUUUCUAGAUGUUUAUAUGGAAUGGAAACGUAGUUAUAUGUUUUACAUUUUGACUAUCUAAAUGUGCCCAUGAAAUAUUGUAAUAACUGUAUGCAGCAGAAUAUGGGAUGUCGUUGAUUAUGAUGCU